CGUAAUUUAAAUGUUACAAACAGAUUUUGCUCAAAUAUCCACGAAUUUCUUUCAUCAUGUAGACUGAAAUUAAUAUAAUUGUUUAUAUAUUUACAGCUCCUAGAAACUUUGUCAUUGUUGAAUGCACUGAUUGUUCAAUAACCCUUGAAUGGAUAAGUGCUGUCCCAUACGAGGUAUUAUCGUAUGAGCUUGACCAUCGCACUCAAGGAACAGAUUACUGGUCUGUCACGAAAUUCUCUUCUGAAGAUGAAUUUGCAGGGAAAAAUGGACGACAUAUGUACAUACUUCAAAAUCUGCAACCUGAAACAAAUUAUGACUUUAGGCUACGUUCUAUUAUUGAUCCUGUUAAAAGCUUUUAUUCGGAGACAAAGAAAAUGCGUACACUUAAUCUAGGUAGUUAAAUCAUUGUUGUGACGUCA
rnacentral:lncRNA from 1 species